GUGCUCACUUUGGCAGCACAUAUAUUAAAAUUGGAAUGAUACAGAGAAGAUUAGCAUGGCCCCUGCGCAAGGCUGACACGCAAAUUUGUGAAGCGUUCCAUAUUUAU
rnacentral:snRNA from 1 species